rnacentral:ribozyme from 1 species
UCUUAUUCUUCCUCUUCUUCUUUUUCUCCCCUUUCCCCCUUUUCUUUCUCUUCUGAUGAGGAAGGAAAAAAAGACAAGGAAAG